rnacentral:rRNA from 1 species
ACGCUCGACACCUACGGGAGCAGCAGUGAGGAAUAUUGGUCAAUGGGCGCAGGCCUGAACCAGCCAAGUAGCGUGAAGGAUGACUGCCCUAUGGGUUGUAAACUUCUUUUAUAUGGGAAUAAAGUUUUCCACGUGUGGAAUUUUGUAUGUACCAUAUGAAUAAGGAUCGGCUAACUCCGUGCCUGCAGCCGCGGUAAUCUGAGCGGGCUGGCAAGGC